rnacentral:lncRNA from 1 species
CAGGUGCUUUCUACCUCUCUGCUCUGCUGUGCUUGGCGUUGGCUUCACCUGAGGGUUGAAGGUUCUUUCCUUGGAUGAGAGAUAACUGAACCACCCCUGUGGACCCAGGAACAGGGUCUGUGUCCCUUGAAGCACGUGACAGCAGAGGACGGGAGGCUCCACCUGAACAUGACCAGGGGUCUCCUGGGGAGGAAAAAUGGAGAUGGAAGCUGCAGAGGAAACGAACAGCUGCCCCCACACAUGCCGUACAAGGCCUGCAUGGGAUGAUGUACGUAGAGCUGCAUUUAAUGUAUACUAAAAAUCACUGGGCCGUGUUGCUAACUUCUGUUAGCAGAGAAUGCAGAAAGGCUGUGGGAGCCUUUCAUUGCCAGCUCUACGUGACCCUUCCCCUUAUGAUCAACACCAGACCAGGGAUUUAACUACAAGGCCCUGCCUUACCCAGCUCUUUUUGUCCCCACUUUGCAAAGUUCCUAAAAUGUACCAGAUUUCUUUCUUCUUCAUGGUCUUAUAUGCUGAUCCCUCUGCGGAAAACAGUCUCUGUAUUUGUUGCCUUUUCUUACGUAGGUUUCACUUCAUGUCAUUCCUUAAAGAGCACUUCCCUGUCCUCCUAAACUGAAUUAGGUGCCCCCUCCCUGGCUUGUGUCCCUAUUGGGAUCUAGUUCCAGAUUGUAAUUAUGUUUCUAUUAUGUUCAUGUGUAGCUCUGUGGUAUGGGGGCCACAUUUGUUCUGCUCACUAGUGAAUCCUCAGAGCCUGGCACAUGGCAAUGCUCAAGACAUUUGAUGAAUGAAUUAGCUAUUUCAUGCACUUCUUCGUCUAACUCUCAUGCCUAUUGUCUUUUUUAAGCAUGUGAGACAUCUUUGGAGGUUAUUGAAUGUAAAGAUUUCUACAAAACAGUACCCAUUCCAAAAGAUUAAUGAUGUUUAAUAAACCUAAAUAAUAAGGAAUGCUUGGAAAGCUCAUAAAGUAACAGCAAUGGAACAGGGAGAUUUUUUAAAUCAUAUUUAAGUAAUUUAUUGCUUUGCAUCAGUUACCCUUACACAGAUAAAGCCAAGACUAGAGCAAAUUGGUGAACUAGUUAGUUCAACACUGUCUUUGCCCCAGCCCCUAUCUCACUAGCUAAUUACAUUAGCAGACAUAUAUCAAAUGUUUCCUCUGUGCUGCCCAUUGUGCUGGACUGUGAGAUUUGGCCCUGAUUUCAGUCCGGAUUCUAGUAGGGCUUCCAGCACCUCCUUCUCCCUUUGGGGCUUCCCUCAAUUCCAUUCAACAAAUAUUUAUUGAACUCAUAGUUGGGUGAAAGAAAUGAUGAAUGAGUAAAUCCGUAGCAAUACUUCAUGUUACUACUCACGAUGAUGGCUGUGAGGUGUUAACAAUAUUUUGAAUCAUGCAAGUUUUCAUUAGGGCCAUUCUAUCUAUUAAGGCAAGAACUGAACAAAUACAUCUAAGAAUGGGUUUCUACUAGAAAGAUUGCAACAAAUAAGUUUUUCUGAUUAGCCCUCAGAUAAUUCAAUUAACUUCUAUUACCAGAACGUUCAAGUCUGCUUUGCUAGCCUAUGAGUUUCCAUACAGGAGGGGCUGAAGGGCUGGCAAUCUGUUAGGAAGGCAAGCUGGAGUUUUGUCUUGAAGUCAUGUUUACACAGCAAGUAUGCUGUUUCUGCUUGGAUUCCAUGGCUAUUUGGCAUAGCUAAAGGUGGCUAUUGGAAAUCAUGGGGAAAUUAAAUCUUUGCCCCCUCUCAAUCAUUUAUUGGCGCUACCACUGAUCCUAGCUAACUGAAGCAUAAUUACAUUUUGUUUGUUUGUCAGACUUUCAGACUGCUCAGGCUUCAAAAUCCACAAGAUUUCAAAAAGAAAAUUUCAAAGGGAGAAAGAAGCCAUAGUCUGCUCUGAUAACUUGUUUAUCAAUUUAUUUUUCAAUUUCCCUGUCCUCUUCUCUCAGAGGGAAACAUGAGUGAGAACCUGACUCGCAACCCCUAUGAGAUAGAGAAUAUUUGCCUUUUUUUUUGGUUGAUUGCUGGGCUUGAAAAGAAAAAAAAAGACAGAAAAUAAAAAAGGUUAGAAGUCGGGCAUGAUGGCUUACGCCUAUAAUCCUAACACUUUGGGAGGCCAAGGCAGGCAGAUCACUUGAGCCCAGGAGUUCAAGACCAGUCUGGGUAACAUGGCGAAACUUCGUCUCUACAAAAAAUACAAAAAUUAACCAAGUGCAGUGGUGCAUGCCUGUAGUCCCAGCUACUUGGGAGGCUAAGGCAGGAGGAUCGCUUGAGCCUAGGAUAUUGAGGCCUCAGUGAGCCGUAAUUGAGCCACUGCACUCCAGCCUGGG